UACGAAGGGGGCUAGCAUUGCUCGGAAUCACUGGGCGUAAAGCGCACGUAGGCGGAUCUUUAAGUCAGGGGUGAAAUCCCAAGGCUCAACCUUGGAACUGCCUUUGAUACUGGGGAUCUCGAGUCCGGAAGAGGUUGGUGGAACUGCGAGUGUAGAGGUGAAAUUCGUAGAUAUUCGCAAGAACACCAGUGGCGAAGGCGGCCAACUGGUCUGGCACUGACGCUGAGGUGCGAAAGCGUGGGGAGCAAACAGG
rnacentral:rRNA from 1 species